rnacentral:rRNA from 1 species
UCUGGUUGAUCCUGCCAGUAGUUAUAUGCUUGUCUCAAAGAUUAAGCCAUGCAUGUCUAAGUACAAACAAAUUAAAAGUGAAACCGCAAAAGGCUCAUUAUAUCAGUUAUGGUUCCAUAGAUCGUUAACAGUUACUUGGAUAACUGUGGUAAUUCUAGAGCUAAUACAUGCAAAAUAAACACGGACCUUUUGGAACGUGUGCUUUUAUUAGACUAAAACCAAGCGAUCGUAAGAUCGUUAUAUUGGUUGAACUCUAGAUAACUUGCAGAUCGUAUGGUCUCGUACCGACGACAGAUCUUUCAAAUGUCUGCCCUAUCAACUUUUGAUGGUAGUAUCUAGGACUACCAUGGUUGCAACGGGUAACGGGGAAUCAGGGUUCGAUUCCGGAGAGGGAGCCUGAGAAACGGCUACCACAUCUAAGGAAGGCAGCAGGCGCGUAAAUUACCCACUCCCAGUUCGGGGAGGUAGUGACGAAAAAUAACAAUACAGGACUCAUAUCCGAGGCCCUGUAAUUGGAAUGAGUACACUUUAAAUCCUUUAACAAGGACCUAUUGGAGGGCAAGUCUGGUGCCAGCAGCCGCGGUAAUUCCAGCUCCAAUAGCGUAUAUUAAAGUUGUUGCGGUUAAAACGUUCGUAGUUGAAUUUGUGCUUCAUACGGGUAGUACAGCUAUAAUUGUGGUAUGUACAUUACCUUAUGUAUGCAAGCGUAUUACCGGUGGAGUUCUUAUAUGUAAUUAAUACAAUGUAUUUUUUAUAUAUUCCUCCUAUUUAAACCUGCUUCAGUGCUCUUCAUCGAGUGUUGUUGUGGGCCGGUACAAUUACUUUGAACAAAUUAGAGUGCUUAAAGCAGGCUCCAAAUGCCUGAAUAUUUUGUGCAUGGAAUAAUGAAAUAAGACCUCUGUUCUACUUUCAUUGGUUUUUAGAUCAAGAGGUAAUGAUUAAUAGAAGCAGUUUGGGGGCAUUAGUAUUACGACGCGAGAGGUGAAAUUCUUGGACCGUCGUAAGACUAACUUAAGCGAAAGCAUUUGCCAAAGAUGUUUUCAUUAAUCAAGAACGAAAGUUAGAGGUUCGAAGGCGAUCAGAUACCGCCCUAGUUCUAACCAUAAACGAUGCCAGCUAGCAAUUGGGUGUAGCUACUACUAUGGCUCUCUCAGUCGCUUCCCGGGAAACCAAAGCUUUUGGGCUCCGGGGGAAGUAUGGUUGCAAAGCUGAAACUUAAAGGAAUUGACGGAAGGGCACCACCAGGAGUGGAGCCUGCGGCUUAAUUUGACCCAACACGGGAAAACUUACCAGG